AGAGUUUGAUCCUGGCUCAGAACGAACGCUGGCGGCAGGCCUAACACAUGCAAGUCGAGCGAGAUCUUCGGAUCUAGCGGCGGACGGGUUAGUAACGCGUGGGAACGUGCCUCUCUCUACGGAAUAGUCCCGGGAAACUGGGUUUAAUACCGUAUACGCCCUUCGGGGGAAAGAUUUAUCGGAGAGAGAUCGGCCCGCGUAAGAUUAGAUAGUUGGUGGGGUAAUGGCCUACCAAGUCUACGAUCUUUAGCUGGUUUGAGAGGAUGAUCAGCAACACUGGGACUGAGACACGGCCCAGACUCCUACGGGAGGCAGCAGUGGGGAAUCUUAGACAAUGGGCGCAAGCCUGAUCUAGCCAUGCCGCGUGUGUGAUGAAGGCCUUAGGGUCGUAAAGCACUUUCGCCAGAGAUGAUAAUGACAGUAUCUGGUAAAGAAACCCCGGCUAACUCCGUGCCAGCAGCCGCGGUAAUACGGAGGGGGUUAGCGUUGUUCGGAAUUACUGGGCGUAAAGCGCGCGUAGGCGGACCAGAAAGUUGGGGGUGAAAUCCCGGGGCUCAACCCCGGAACUGCCUCCAAAACUCCUGGUCUAGAGGUCGAGAGAGGUGAGUGGAAUUCCGAGUGUAGAGGUGAAAUUCGUAGAUAUUCGGAGGAACACCAGUGGCGAAGGCGGCUCACUGGCUCGAUACUGACGCUGAGGUGCGAAAGUGUGGGGAGCAAACAGGAUUAGAUACCCUGGUAGUCCACACCGUAAACGAUGAAUGCCAGUCGUCGGGGAGCUUGCUCUUCGGUGACGCAGUUAACGCUUUAAGCAUUCCGCCUGGGGAGUACGGUCGCAAGAUUAAAACUCAAAUGAAUUGACGGGGGCCCGCACAAGCGGUGGAGCAUGUGGUUUAAUUCGAUGCAACGCGAAGAACCUUACCAGGUCUUGACAUCCAGAGAAUUCGCUAGAGAUAGCUUAGUGCCUUCGGGAACUCUGUGACAGGUGCUGCAUGGCUGUCGUCAGCUCGUG
rnacentral:rRNA from 1 species